rnacentral:hammerhead_ribozyme from 1 species
GCACCGCUGAAGAAUCCCAUAAUAGGACGAAGCGGCCGUCCAGUGC